rnacentral:rRNA from 1 species
GACGAAGGGGGCUAGCGUUGUUCGGAAUUACUGGGCGUAAAGCGAGUGUAGGUGGUUGUCCAAGUUUGGAUGUGAAAGCCUUGAGCUUAACUCAAGAAAUGCAUUCAGGACUGGGCGGCUAGAGGACCGGAGAGGAUAGUGGAAUUCCCAGUGUAGUGGUGAAAUACGUAGAGAUUGGGAAGAACACCAGUGGCGAAGGCGGCUAUCUGGACGGUUUCUGACACUAAGACUCGAAAGCGUGGGGAGCAAACAGG